rnacentral:lncRNA from 1 species
UAUUAGGAGUGGUCGAUUCCAUGUUGACCUACUUAUAACCUCCAUACAUAAUUCACCAUAUCUAGAACAUCCCGUACAUGACUAAGUCAUGAAUGAGUAUGAACCAAAACUAUGGUUUCAUAUGCACAAGGUUCCAUGGUGAUCUCAGGUCUAAGGACCACAUGCACAACCCCCACUAGAGAAGCAUCUCUUGACAUUAGAAUUUCAUAAGAUAUUUCUCAUGUCAGAUCAAUUCAGUGAACUCAUUCUCUAAUGAGCACCCACACUCUUGUAUUAGUAUCUCACACAAGUAGCUUAUGAGAUCAGCUACCCA